UACGAAGGGGGCUAGCGUUGUUCGGAAUCACUGGGCGUAAAGCGCACGUAGGCGGAUCUUUAAGUCAGAGGUGAAAUCCCAAGGCUCAACCUUGGAACUGCCUUUGAUACUGGGGAUCUUGAGUCCGGGAGAGGGUGAGUGGAACUGCGAGUGUAGAGGUGAAAUUCGUAGAUAUUCGCAAGAACACCAGUGGCGAAGGCGGCUCACUGGCCCGGUACUGACGCUGAGGUGCGAAAGCGUGGGGAGCAAACAGG
rnacentral:rRNA from 1 species